CGCAGCCGCGGUAAUUCCAGCUCCAAUAGCGUAUAUUAAAGUUGUUGCAGUUAAAAAGCUCGUAGUUGAAUUUCGGGAUCAUCAGGUUGGUCGUGCCUCUGGUAUGUACUGAUUUCGAUGGUUCCUCCUUCUUGUAGAACCGUAAUGCCACUAAUUUGGUGUUGCGGGAAAACAGGACUGUUACUUUGAAAAAUUAGAGUGUUUAAAGCAGGCAAUCGCUUGAAUACAUUAGCAUGGAAUAAUGAAAUAGGACGUUUGAUCCUAUUUUGUUGGUCUCUAGGAUUGACGUAAUGAUUAAUAGGGAUAGUUGGGGGCAUUAGUAUUCAAUUGUCAGAGGUGAAAUUCUUGGAUUUAUUGAAGACUAACUACUGCGAAAGCAUUUGCCAAGGAUGCUUUCAUUAAUCAAGAACGAAAGUUAGGGAUCGAAGACGAUCAGAUACCGUCGUAGUC
rnacentral:rRNA from 1 species